GACGAACGCUGGCGGCAUGCCUAAUACAUGCAAGUCGAGCGAACAGAUGAAGUGCUUGCACUUCUGACGUUAGCGGCGAACGGGUGAGUAACACGUAAGGAAUCUACCUAUAAGCGGGGGAUAACAUUCGGAAACGGGUGCUAAUACCGCAUAAUAUUUUCUUCCGCAUGGAAGAAAAUUGAAAGACGGCUCUGCUGUCACUUAUAGAUGACCUUGCGGUGCAUUAGUUAGUUGGUGGGGUAACGGCCUACCAAGACGAUGAUGCAUAGCCGACCUGAGAGGGUGAUCGGGCACAUUGGGACUGAGACACGGCCCAAACUCCGACGGGAGGCAGGAGUAGGGAAUCUUCCGCAAUGGGCGAAAGCCUGACGGAGCAAUGCCGCGUGAGUGAAGAAGGCCUUCGGGUCGUAAAACUCUGUUAUAAGAGAAGAACAAAUUGUAGAGUAACUGCUACAGUCUUGACGGUAUCUUAUCAGAAAGCCACGGCUAACUACGUGCCAGCAGCCGCGGUAA
rnacentral:rRNA from 1 species